AUUGAACGCUGGCGGCAUGCCUUACACAUGCAAGUCGAACGGCAGCACGGGAGCAAUCCUGGUGGCGAGUGGCGAACGGGUGAGUAAUACAUCGGAACGUGCCCAGUAGUGGGGAGUAACCGGCGAAGACCGGACUAAUACCGCGUACGACCUACGGUGAAGACAGGGAGUCUCAUGGCAACAUGCGACCUUGCGCUAUCGGAGCGGCCGAUGUCAGAUAG
rnacentral:rRNA from 1 species